GCGGGUGUGGCGGAACUGGCAGACGCGCUAGAUUUAGGUUCUAGUGUCUCUUGGCGUGGGGGUUCGAAUCCCUUCACCCGCA
rnacentral:tRNA from 3 species